rnacentral:rRNA from 1 species
UACGUAGGUGGCAAGCGUUGUCCGGAUUUACUGGGCGUAAAGGGCGUGCAGGCGGUUUGUUAAGUGCAGGGUGAAAGCUCCCGGCUCAACUGGGAGAGGUCCUUGCAUACUGGCAAACUCGAGGGAGGCAGAGGAAAGUGGAAUUCCCGGUGUAGUGGUGAUAUGCGUAGAUAUCAGGAGGAACACCGGUGGUGUAGACGGCUUACUGGACCACGACUGACACUGAGGCACGAAAGCGUGGGUAGCAAACAGG